GGUUAGUUGCCAGCAAGUAGCGUUGGGCACUCUAGCCAGACUGCCGGUGAUAAUCGAGAAGGUGGGACGACGUCAAAUCAUCAUGCCCUUUAUGUCCUGGGCUACACACGUACUACAAUGGCCGUUACAACGGGAAGCGAAGGAGCAAUCCGGAGCAAAUCCCUUAAAGGCGGUCCCAGUUCAGAUUGUGGGCUGAAACUCGCCCACAUGAAGGCGGAAUUGCUAGUAAUUGCAGAUCAGCAUGCUGCAGUGAAUACGUUCCCGGGCCUU
rnacentral:rRNA from 1 species